rnacentral:rRNA from 1 species
GAAUUCCGGGUAGACUACCAGACUUGGGACCGGUUGAGGGAGAGGGUACUUCAGGGGUAGGGGUGAAAUCCUGUAAUCCCUGAAGGACCACCAGUGGCGAAGGCGCUCUCCUAGAACGGGUCCGACGGUGAGGGACGAAAGCCAGGGGAGCAAACCGGAUUAGAUACCCGGGUAGUCCUGGCCGUAAACGAUGCGGGCUUUGCAUUGGGGGUCCUACGAGGGCGCUCAGUGCCGAAGCGAAGGCGUUAAGCCCGCCGCCUGGGAAGUAUGGUCGCAAGGCUGAAACUU